rnacentral:rRNA from 1 species
CUUCCGUAGGGUGAACCUGCGGAAGGAUCAUUACCGAGUGCGGGUCUUUAUGGCCCAACCUCCCACCCGUGACUAUUGUACCUUGUUGCUUCGGCGGGCCCGCCAGCGUUGCUGGCCGCCGGGGGGCGACUCGCCCCCGGGCCCGUGCCCGCCGGAGACCCCAACAUGAACCCUGUUCUGAAAGCUUGCAGUCUGAGUGUGAUUCUUUGCAAUCAGUUAAAACUUUCAACAAUGGAUCUCUUGGUUCCGGCAUCGAUGAAGAACGCAGCGAAAUGCGAUAACUAAUGUGAAUUGCAGAAUUCAGUGAAUCAUCGAGUCUUUGAACGCACAUUGCGCCCCCUGGUAUUCCGGGGGGCAUGCCUGUCCGAGCGUCAUUGCUGCCCUCAAGCCCGGCUUGUGUGUUGGGCCCUCGUCCCCCGGCUCCCGGGGGACGGGCCCGAAAGGCAGCGGCGGCACCGCGUCCGGUCCUCGAGCGUAUGGGGCUUCGUCUUCCGCUCCGUAGGCCCGGCCGGCGCCCGCCGACGCAUUUAUUUGCAACUUGUUUUUUUCCAGGUUGACCUCGGAUCAGGUAGGGAUACCCGCUGAACUUAAGCAUAUCAAUAAGCGGAGGAA